rnacentral:rRNA from 1 species
AGUUUGAUCAUGGCUCAGAACGAACGCUGGCGGCGUGGAUAAGACAUGCAAGUCGGACGAGAUUUCAUCCUGUAGCAAUACGGGAAGAAGUCUAGUGGCGAACGGGUGCUUAACACGUGGGCAAUCUGUCUUAAAGUGGGGGAUAGCUCGGCGAAAGCCGAAUUAAUACCGCAUGUGAUUAGAGUGGACAUCCAUUCAAAAUCAAAGUCGGGGCAACCUGACGCUUUUUGAGGAGCCCGCGGCCUAUCAGCUAGUUGGUGAGGUAACGGCUCACCAAGGCUUUGACGGGUAGCUGGUCUGAGAGGACGACCAGCCACACUGGGACUGAGACACGGCCCAGACACCUACGGGUGGCAGCAGUCGAGAAUUUUUCUCAAUGGGGGAAACCCUGAAGGAGCGACGCCGCGUGGAGGAUGAAGGUCUUCGGAUUGUAAACUCCUGUCAUUGGGGAACAAGGUGCAUACGUUAACUGCGUGUGCAUUGAUAGUACCCGAAGAGGAAGAGACGGCUAACUCUGUGCCAGCAGCCGCGGUAAUACAGAGGUCUCAAGCGUUGUUCGGAUUCAUUGGGCGUAAAGGGUGCGUAGGCGG